UACGUAGGGGGCAAGCGUUGUCCGGAAUCAUUGGGCGUAAAGCGCGCGUAGGCGGCCCGGUAAGUCCGCUCUGAAAGUCCAGGGCUCAACCCUGGAAAGCGGGUGGAUACUGCCGGGCUAGAAUCCGGAAGAGGCGAGUGGAAUUCCUGGUGUAGCGGUGAAAUGCGUAGAUAUCUGGAAGGAACACCGGUGGCGAAGGCGACAUCCUGGACCGGUAUUGACGCUGAGGCGCGAAAAGCCAGGGGAGCAA
rnacentral:rRNA from 1 species